ACCUUGCACCUGUUGCACCCAAGAGAGAGAUAUGGCGGAUAUUUCAAGUCUCUUUAAAACUUUCACACCCUCACUUUCUUCGAUAAAAGCAGAUCUUUUAAGAGCCAAUCGUGAAUGUUCGCAAAGGAAAUUAUUUCACAGUUCUAAAUGGGCGGCUGAAUUACUCUACUCCAUUGAAGCACCGGUGGAUUACAAACAAAUCUUGACAGUGCAGGAGAGACCGGACUUUGUUGAGGAGUAUGACAAGUUUUGCCUGGCUUCCAGUUUCUUUGAUCUGAAGGAGUAUGACAGGGCAGCCUUCUUUGUCCAAGACUGUAAGAACAAAAAAGCAUACUUUCUUCACAUGUAUGGCAGGUACCUGGCUGAUGAAAAGAGGAAACUGGACAAUGCUCCGGAUUCAAUCGGUCCUCCAGACAAAUUAGAGAAUGAACACCUUAAAACUCUGAAAACAGAGCUAGCCAAGAAGUAUGCCAUCACGGAACUGGAUGGAUUCUGUAUCUAUCUGUACGGUGUGGUGUUGAAAAAGCUGGAUUUACUGAAAGAAGCUAUAGAAGUGUUUGUUGAUGCGGUGAACUCUGAACCACUGCACUGGGGGGCGUGGUUAGAACUAGUGACCCUCAUCAAAGACAAAGAGUCUCUGCUGGCACUUUCCCUCCCCAAUCACUGGAUGAAGCAUUUCUUCCUGGGUCACAUUUACCUAGAACUGCAGUUGAAUGAGGAAGGACUCAAGAUUUACCAACACCUGAUGGAUAAAGGGUUCGUCAAGAGUUCCUACAUAGUGUCACAGGUUGCCAUGGCUUACAACAACAUGAGAGAGGUAGAUAUGGCAGUCAACGCCUUCACUGAGCUGACAGAGAUGGACCCCUACAGACUGGAGAAUAUGGACUACUUCUCCAAUACUCUCUACAUCAAGGUCAGAAGAUGCCAAGUCUUGUCCAUCAGAUUAACCCUUUUUGAUUAUCAAGUGUUGAAGAUCUUUGUAAUUUUUUUUUCUAGGAAAUGCGGGCUGAUUUAGCUCACCUGGCUCACAGGUGUUGUGACAUUGACAAAUACAGAGAGGAGACCUGUGUAGUUAUAGGUAAUUACUACUCUCUGCGGCAGCAGCAUGAGAAGGCAGUGCUGUAUUUCCAGAGAGCCCUGAAGCUGAACCCCCAGUACCUGUCCGCCUGGACUCUGAUGGGGCACGAGUUCAUGGAGCUGAAGAAUACGACAGCCGCCAUUCAAGCCUACAGACAAGCUAUAGAAAUCAACAUACGAGAUUACCGAGCCUGGUAUGGUCUGGGACAGACGUAUGAGAUCCUUAAAAUGCCAUUCUAUUGUUUAUAUUACUACAGACAGGCCCAGAAAUUAAGGCCAAACGACUCAAGAAUGGCCAUGGCACUUGGGGAAUCUUAUGAGAAACUAGAACGACUGCAGGAGGCCAAGAAAUGCUUCUGGAAGGCUCAUGUAGUGGGAGAUAUGGAAGGAAUGGCCCUGAUUAAACUCGCAAAGUUACAUGAGCGCCUCAAUGAGGAGGACCAAGCAGCCUCGGCAUACACCGAGUACAUCAACGAGGCCAACAGAAUGGGGACGUUCAGUGCAGAGGAUCAGAGUCAAGCCUACAAGUACCUGGCUAACUAUCACCUGUUGAGGAACAACCUAGAUGAUGCUUACGCUGCCGCCCAGAAGUGUACAGAGUUCCCCGAGAGGAGAGAGGAGGCCAAGGGAAUCCUUAAAGAUAUCCAGAACAGGCGGGCCAGGAGUGAGGGGGCGUACCCCCACCCCGUCAGGAUGGAUGACAGCCUGGGCUCCAUCUGUCCCGACCCCCUCAACAUCAGCACCAGGACCCCCUCCGUGUGUCUCUCCCCCGUCAAUCUCAAGUUUGAUAUCGGCGACGACUGACCAGGAACUAUUUUACAGUGUGUUCAUAGACUGACUGACAACAAGCUUUUUGCCAUUGUGAUGAAUUGGUCAUCUAUUGUGUUUGUGUAGUCCUGAUAAGAUUCAGUUGGGUUACAUAGCUCGCAAGAUGGUUCAUUGUAAUCAACCAGACAGGAACUGUGCAAUCCUCUCACAGCAUGUACUGACCCUGUAGUUUAUUAUGACACCAGAGGUCUGUUCAGCAGAGUUAACACUGUAACUAUUGUGUUAUAGAAAGAGGGAAAUACGGGGAGUUCCUGCUGUGCUAACCUGGCCUCAGUUGUGAUUUGAUUUAUAAGUUGUUUCAAUAAAAUGGUUGAAUGUUUCGAUAAAACAGCCCAUUCUUGUCACAGAUGGUUAUUGACUUCAUGGAAUCUUACAGUAUCAACUAAUAAAUGCUAUGUGGUCCUUAUUGUUGUAUAAAUUUUUCUCUCGAC
rnacentral:misc_RNA from 1 species